GUUUUAGAACAUGGUAGCUUCAAAGACGUUUGUUAAAAGGAUAGGCUGGUCUGCAUGGUGGCUGUUUUACUGCUUUUCUAAACUUGGGUGAACCCCUGGAGGAGAAGCCCCAAACAGGGUAGUUCCACCAGCCCAGGAUGCAGCAAGGUGGACAAAUCACAGACAGGACGGGGGAGGAGCCAAGAUGACCGAAUAGGAACAGCUUCGGUCCACAGCUCCCAGCGUGAGCGAUGCAGAAGACGGGUGAUUUCUGCAUUUCCAACUGAGGGACAUGGAUGAAACUGGAAACCAUCAUUCUCAGCAAACUAUUGCAAGGACAGAAAACCGAACACCCCAUGUUCUCACUCAUAG
rnacentral:lncRNA from 10 species